rnacentral:lncRNA from 1 species
UAGGAGUCGGGGUCGAAAAGUCUGGAUGAGAACUUAGAAAAAUGCCAAGAAGUUCAAUAAGGCGUGAAGUUAGACAGGUCAAAGGGCUCGACUGAGAACAAAUUCAAAAUUCAAACUAAAGUAAAUGCUUUUUGGUCUUAUCCAAAUUAGCAAGGACACAUGGAAAUCAAAUCAAGCGCCAGUUAACAUGCAACAAUGAUGUGUCAGAGGGAGGAUCAUUUAAACGUCGAAAGACAGUUAGUU